rnacentral:rRNA from 1 species
GAUGAACGCUGGCGGCGUGCUUAACACAUGCAAGUCGAACGGAGUUAUCUGGAAGCUUGGCUUCCGGAUAACUUAGUGGCGGACGGGUGAGUAACGCGUGGGUGACCUGCCUUAUACUGGGGGAUAACACUUAGAAAUAGGUGCUAAUACCGCAUAAGCGCACGAAACCGCAUGGUUUUGUGUGAAAAACUCCGGUGGUGUAGGAUGGACCCGCGUCUGAUUAGAUAGUUGGUGAGGUAACGGCUCACCAAGUCGACGAUCAGUAGCCGGACUGAGAGGUUGGACGGCCACAUUGGGACUGAGACACGGCCCAGACUCCUACGGGAGGCAGCAGUGGGGAAUAUUGCACAAUGGGCGCAAGCCUGAUGCAGCGAUGCCGCGUGAGGGAAGAAGGUUUUAGGAUUGUAAACCUCUGUCUUCAGGGACGAUAAUGACGGUACCUGAGGAGGAAGCUCCGGCUAACUACGUG